rnacentral:rRNA from 1 species
AUGCGUCAAAUUGCGGAUUUCCUUUCUGAAGUCAGAGCCGCCAACAUAAUCGUCCCAGACCGCACUCCUAUGGAGAGGCGCACAAAGUUUUAUAAGAUAUUUGACCGCUUCAUGACCACCUUAGAAAAAGAUAGUGCUCUGGGCUUCCUACGCCUCUUCGAUAAGUACAGGCAGCACCUUGUUUAUGGAUAUGUUAUCACUCCACAAAGCUUUAACUUAAUUAUUGCAAUGAACGCCCUGUGUUGCGCUAAGUUUGUUUUGAAGGGGAAGGCGCCUAGGCUCUGUGGGAUGCGCGCCAACCCCAACUACAUUACCAACUUUGGGUUCUUCCCCCUUCACCAAGCUGCUGAGUCAUUCUCCGCUGACAUGGUUGAGGUACUGCUCCAACAUGGUGCAUUGGCCAAUCUACGCACCUCGGGGAAUAUAAUCAUCGAGGGCCUCCUUCCACUCCAUGUUGCCAUCGAGAACACUUGCCAGCACAAGUAUCUGGAGGACAAUCUGUUAGCUGACCAGAACUAUAUGAAGGGGAAUGUCGAGUACAUCUACAAGCUCAUAUAUCUGCUUUGCCUGCCUGAGAUGAAGAUCUUCUUGGACACGACUAGGGUGCUUGCAAGUCACACAGAUAAUGUAGUAGAUGAGCUCUGGGAUUGCAUAAAGCAUGGGAAGCUUGUCCCUGCAGCUAUUUUGCUCUUCGCAGCUCAUAGGCAUUUCCGCAAGCUCAAUGGAUUUGAUACGAUCAAGACUCUUAUCGAGGAUUCUGGGUGUGGAUUAAAAAGUGGUAAAAAUACUAAGGCUGCUAAGCAGCGGAAAGAGAAGAAAGUACAAUUUAGUAACACAUUGGUGCUUGUUAGGAUAAUUCUCAAAGCUGGUGAUGCUCUUGACGAAUAUAUUCAAACUCAUUCAAAGGCAUCUCAUGAGGAGGUCCUUGCAAAGGUUUCAGAAGUUCUCCAGAAUUAUGAUGUUGGUCCUAGUGGAAAAGUAAUCUGCAUCGAAGACCUUGUCUGGUUUGAUUUUUUUUAUUUCCUUCUGCGUCUAUUCUUUUUGUACAUGUAG